CGGAGCCGGGCUGGGGUUUCGCGUGCUGCUGCUGAGGCUCUCGGACGCGGCCUACUCGCUUUGGCCGUGUGCGGCGCAUGGCUCGUCUCGGGAGUGGUCCCGGAGAGCCCGGGAGUCGGCGCCCGGAAGGGUUGUGAGCAGCCCCGGGGGGCCGCGAGUCGCCUUUCCCUGAGGGGUCAGGCUCCGCAGGCCGCGGCGGUGCGAGCGGCUGCAGGAAUGGCCUGCGAGCCGGCGUCCUGCUCCUCUGCGGGCAGCUGGGCCUCGGCGGACCUCCGGCGCUCCCUCGUGUACUGCGGCUUGUGGCCGGGCUGCGUGCCGUUAACAGUCUGCGGGGUGAAUGAUCAGAUCUUCUUCCUCCGCGUUGCUUUCUUAGCAAAGCUCCGCUCGCACAGGCUCUGGCCAUUUUUAGGAUAGUCGGAAAUCUUGACAAACAGUGCUGCUUCUCAGCACAGGAGAUCAACAUUCUUCCGUGGAAGUGAGCAAAGCAAACCCUUGAUGGUACUCACAGCCUCGGCUAUGUGAGCUGACAGUGGUGACGGCUGGUUAGUGUUCCGGACACUACUUCAGAGAGGGUCAGAUUUAUAAAGGAAAACUCCACCAUAUUUCCCAGAGGCCUUGUCAGGGAAAUCAAAGACUCAAAGGAUAUACAGUACCUGUGAACCAGUACUUCAGCCUCCAGUCUUGAGAACAUUUGGACAGACUAAUGAGACCACAUUGGAAAUGGGCAAAGGAAAUAAAAGGAGGGAAACAAAUGAAGCCCCAGCGAGGCCAUUCUAAAGGUGUUGGGUCUGAUGAGAUUCCCUAGAGAGGCUGAAGGUUAACACGGGCUACCUUGAAAGAUGCAAACAGUAAUGUGUCUUCAGAGCAGGCAGCUCCAGAGCAAGUUGAGAGCCUUAGCAUAAAAGCAGGCCACUUUUCGUUAGACCACCUCCUUUUGCACUGGGGGGAUGCGAACACUCCCGUCUCAAGCACAUGCUGUAAAACUCUCAGUUACAGCCUGUAACAACAGCCUCUUGGGACAGUUUGAGCCAGCCACUGGCC